AUUGAACGCUGGCGGCAGGCCUAACACAUGCAAGUCGAGCGGAUGAAGGGAGCUUGCUCCUGGAUUCAGCGGCGGACGGGUGAGUAAUGCCUAGGAAUCUGCCUGGUAGUGGGGGAUAACGUCCGGAAACGGGCGCUAAUCCCGCAUACGUCCUGAGGGAGAAGGUGGGGGAUCUUCGGACCUCACGCUAUCAGAUGAGCCUAGGUCGGAUUAGCUAGUUGGUGGGGUAAAGGCCUACCAAGGCGACGAUCCGUAACUGGUCUGAGAGGAUGAUCAGUCACACUGGAACUGAGACACGGUCCAGACUCCUACGGGAGGCAGCAGUGGGGAAUAUUGGACAAUGGGCGAAAGCCUGAUCCAGCCAUGCCGCGUGUGUGAAGAAGGUCUUCGGAUUGUAAAGCACUUUAAGUUGGGAGGAAGGGCAGUAAGUUAAUACCUUGCUGUUUUGACGUUACCAACAGAAUAAGCACCGGCUAACUUCGUG
rnacentral:rRNA from 1 species